AAGUUUUAUCCUAGCUUAUUCUUUCAAUUUUAGGUCAAUGGUACAUGUAAAUUUUGAUGGGCCAAUAAAAUUUAUGCUAACUAGAGGAGUAUAAAUAUUCUGAAAGUAGGGGUUCUAAUAAAUAAUAAAUUCUCAGUACCUAGUACUAAUUAAAUAAAUGUAAGUUGGAAUUGAUGAUCUUAAUUAUAUACCUGGCUAAAAUUUGUGCCAGCAGCCGCGGUUAUACUGAGAGGUUAAUUGAAAGAAAAUUGGUUAAAAAUAGUUAUAUCUAUUGAUUAAUAAUAUUUCAAGAGCUUGUACUGAUAAAGGGUGAAAUCGAUUUUUUAGUAUACAAGGGAAUGAGAAUAUUAAUCUGAAUUGAAGCUAUUAAAAUAAAGGAAUGAACCAGGAUUAGAUACCCUGUUACACUUUAUAUAAAUUAUAAAAUUACCUGGGUAUUAAACAGUUAUUGUCUUGAAACUCAAAGGAUUUGGCGGUAACUUAGUCUAUUUAGAGGAACCUGUCCUGUAAUCGAUAGUCCACGAAGAAUCUUACUUUAUCUUGUAGAAAUCAGUUUGUAUACCGUCAUUAUUAGAUAACUUUAAUAAGAUAUAAAGUUAUUGGAAUAGUUUAGCUAAUAUAUUAGAUCAAGGUGCAGCUUAUGGUAAAGAAAGAGAUGGGUUACAUUAUAAUAAAUAUAAACGGAACAAUGAACGAAUGUUGGUUGUUAAAGGUGGAUUUAAAAGUAAAGAGAUUUUAACAAGAUCUUUUGACUUUAGCUCUAGGUUAUGUACACAUCGCCCGUCGCUCUCGUUAAUUAAAGCGAGAUAAGUCGUAACAUAGUAGGUGUACUGGAAAGUGUACCUAGAAAUU
rnacentral:ncRNA from 1 species